rnacentral:lncRNA from 1 species
AUCCCCUCCUAGUUGGAAGGGGAUGGCUAGAGUGGGCUGGAGUUGGGCAUCUCCUUCCCCCCAGGUGAGCUAGGCUCUGAUAAAACCCCAGCAGGUUAGGCUCUGGUUAACUAGUUUCCCUGAGGCCAGGUGUUCUUAAGAAGGACAUAGUGCUCUGAUGUAUGUCAAAAAGGUUCUUUUCCGCUUCCCCUGCCAGAAGCAGGAGGGGGUUUUUCUCCAACAUAUUGUGGCAAUCUAGUUGAGCUCCUGGAAGUAAAUCUCACAAAACUGUGGUGCCUUGCAGUGACUGGGUCGCCCUCGGGUUUAUAGCUCUCAGUUUUGUCCACACUGAGCCUCCAUCAACUCAUCAAUCACAGCUCUGGCUUUCCUGCCCCGGCCCUGCUUCCUGUGGUGGUUUUAGCUGUGAAUCUCUGCUCUGGAAAAAACCCCCAGAUACUCUCAGAAAGAAGUGAAAGGAGAACUUGAAGAAACAAGUUUGCAGGUGCUGGUCCAGAGGCGCAGAGGUGAAGAGUCUUUGCUGUCAGGGAGCUGGCAUCCUGGUGAGCGAGACCAACGAUCGUGAGAUGAAAUUUGCCCAGACAAAUGAGUGAUGAGCAGGAGUCUGCUAUGUGACCGCUGGAGCCACUGGACUCAUCUGUUAGGAUUCCCUGGGCAAAAAAGAAAUCUUCAAAGUUUUAAGAAAUCUUGCUGAAUACAUCAAGGCAUCAUAUGGGAUAGAAUACAGAAGGAGGAAGUGUUCCUUCUAGAAGCUUUCUCAGUGAGGAGCAGCAUCUCUUUGCUGAAGAAGGUCCUGCAGGAUACAGUAUGUAAGGGCACAGACUACAAAGCCAGAAUGUCUGGAUUUGAAAGCUGGCUUCACGUUUGGUCAGCUGAGGGUCUUGGAACCAUGAAAGAGUCUCACUGAAUAUGCUCACUCCAUGGACCAAAGUCACAUUAGAGAAGAAUGAAGAAAUCAGGGAUCGUCUUUCAUGAAGAAGUAAAGUAGAACUACAACCAAUAGAUUGUGGAACGGAAUGUGGAUGAUUUUGUGGUCAGCACGGCAGUUUUUACCUCUCGGUAUUCUAGCACUACACGCUCAAGAAGACCUAGGACCAGAUUCUUCCAAACAUCAUGUGUCCAGUUCUGAGACUAGUGUUUGGAGCUGAAUAGAAGUCGGUGAAUUUAAAUUGAAUUUGAUUGGUGUAAUGGACCGAAUGCUUAUGUCUUCCUCAAAAUCCAAAUGUUAAAAUCCUAAACCCCAAUAUGAUGGUAUUACGAGAUGGGGGCCUUUGGGAGGUGGUUAACUGAUAGGGUGCAUCCUUAUAAAGAAUCCCAGAGAGCUCUACCCCUCCUUCCUCCAUGUGAGGACACAGCAAGAUAGCCAUCUAUGAUCCAGGAAGUAGACUCUCCCAGACACCGAAUCUCCUGGCUCCUUGAUCUUGGACUUCCCAGCCUCCAGAACUGGGAGAAAUAAAUGUUUGUUGUUUAAGCCACCCCGUCUAUGGCACUUUUGUUGUAACAGUGCAGGCAGACUAACACAAUUGGUGAUUGGGGGAAAAAUGCAGAGGAGAGGUGACAUAGAGAGCCACAGAAAGGAUUUGUCUUUGAGAUUCCUACAGGGUGGAAUCAUUCACAUUCCCUCCAAACUAAUUCCUAGAAUAUUUUUAUUUGGUUCUUCAACAUAAAAAUCUACUUUUUCAGAGACUUUAAAAAAGCUGUAGCCAAUUCAGAGCUUUUUCAUCAGUGUUGACCAAACGAGCUCUAAAACUCUUACAGAGAACUAUUCUCUAACACUGAAACUAGCAGAGCAGAAACUGGAGGUGAAAGUGAGGCUGAGGGUGGGGAUAGAGCAGGGGAGCAGGAACCUGCCAGAGGACCAGAAGCAAACUUGCCUUUUCUGAUCUCCCAGGAGAAUGGGUGAGUGAAGAACAAAGCCUAUAAUAUUAAUAACUGGACUUGAUGAGAGAGGAAUACUUGGUAUGAUUAUUAAGACAAGAAGUAGCAGUUAUUUCACUUAACACAGCCAUCAGUGAAAACCAAAUUGGAAAUAAAAAAGAAGACAAAAUCAGUAUAUGAAAUUAACAGAAGUAGCCCCUCUCACUCUGCCGCUACAGGCGCAUAACCCUAGUCUCUGUGCCGAUACAUUGCUCUCAGAGUUGGAUACUUUGCUUUAGAAAUAGGAAUAAACGUGUGUGCAGUUUAACCCAAAUCUUUAGUAAAAUUUAUACUUUUAUUUUUACGUGAGAAAAUUGUACCAUGAAGUAUGUUAAAAAAAAAAAAAAAACCGGGGCUAGUCCAUUGUUUAAUGCAUCAAGUCAUUCAUAUUAAGAAAAACUAGAAAUUGAAUCCCAAAUAAUAAAAACAUUAUAUUUGGGGGAUUAGGAUUAUACACAGUUUAAGAAUCUCUUUUAACCACAAA